GUCUGAGAGGAUGACCAGCCACACUGGAACUGAGACACGGUCCAGACUCCUACGGGAGGCAGCAGUGGGGAAUAUUGCACAAUGGGCGCAAGCCUGAUGCAGCCAUGCCGCGUGUAUGAAGAAGGCCUUCGGGUUG
rnacentral:rRNA from 1 species